UCCCUAGUGGCUCAGUUGGUAAAGAAUCUGCCUGCAAUGCAGGAGACCUGGGUUUGAUCCCUGGGUUGGGAA
rnacentral:tRNA from 1 species